GUUUGUCGUGCAGGUGGUUGUUGGUCGUUGGGAGAACAAUUGCUGGAAGAAGUGCCGAGAGAUCAGUAAGACGACCCUGGAUUUCAUCAGGAGUGCCGGUAAUGACUCCAUGUGAGCUUGAAUUAAUGAUCAGGUCUGACUAUAAGUCCCAAUUGCCCUUUACCCAGUAUGCAUGCACUGGGUCAUGAG